rnacentral:rRNA from 1 species
AUACGGAGGAUCCGAGCGUUAUCCGGAUUUAUUGGGUUUAAAGGGUGCGCAGGCGGGAGAUUAAGUCGGCGGUGAAAUUUUGCAGCUCAACUGUAAAAGUGCCUUCGAAACUGGUUUCCUUGAGUGUAGAUGAAGUAGGCGGAAUUUGUGGUGUAGCGGUGAAAUGCAUAGAUAUCACGAGGAACUCCGAUUGCGCAGGCAGCUUACUAAACUACUACUGACGCUCAGGCACGAAGGCGUGGGGAUCAAACAGGAUUAGAUACCCUGGUAGUCCACGCAGUAAACGAUGAUUACUAGCUGUUUGCGAUACAAUGUAAGCGGCUGAGCGAAAGCGUUAAGUAAUCCACCUGGGGAGUACGUUCGCAAGAAGGAAACUCAAAUGAAUUGACGGGG